rnacentral:ncRNA from 1 species
AACUCAACAAGAUAGCCCCGUAAUGUCGGGAGAAGGGGUGCCUCCUCACAAAGGGGGUCACAGUGACUAGGCCCGAGUGACUGUUUUCCAAAAACACAGGUCUCUACAAAGUGGUAAGACCAUGGGGGUUGACACCUGCGCAGUGUUGGAAGGUCAAGGAAGUUAGUGACCUGAUGACAGGGGAGCGUUGGCGGCCGGAGACUCACAGGAUGCACUGUAGCACCUACCGUUAUGGAUGGUGCGAGUCGGGUGAGG